GAACUUUCCAGAGAUGGAUUGGUGCCUUCGGGAACUCUGAGACAGGUGCUGCAUGGCUGUCGUCAGCUCGUGUUGUGAAAUGUUGGGUUAAGUCCCGCAACGAGCGCAACCCUUAUCCUUUGUUGCCAGCGGUCCGGCCGGGAACUCAAAGGAGACUGCCAGUGAUAAACUGGAGGAAGGUGGGGAUGACGUCAAGUCAUCAUGGCCCUUACGAGUAGGGCUACACACGUGCUACAAUGGCGCAUACAAAGAGAAGCGACCUCGCGAGAGCAAGCGGACCUCAUAAAGUGCGUCGUAGUCCGGAUUGGAGUCUGCAACUCGACUCCAUGAAGUCGGAGUCGCUAGUAAUCGUGGAUCAGAAUGCCACGGUGAAUACGUUCCCGGGCCUUGUACACACCGCCCGUCACACCAUGGGAGUGGGUUGCAAAAGAAGUAGGUAGCUUAACCUUCGGGAGGGCGCUUACCACUUUGUGAUUCAUGACUGGGGUGAAGUCGUAACAAGGUAAGCGUAGUGCU
rnacentral:rRNA from 1 species